AUGUGUGUGUGUGUGUGCGUGUGUGUGUGUGCAUGUACACACACACACACACACACACACACACACACACACACACACACACA
rnacentral:miRNA from 14 species